rnacentral:rRNA from 1 species
UACAGAGGGUGCGAGCGUUAAUCGGAAUUACUGGGCGUAAAGCGUGCGUAGACGGUAGCGUAAGUCAGAUGUGAAAUCCCCGGGCUUAACCUGGGAAUGGCAUUUGGGACUGCAAGGCUUGAGUGCGGCAGAGGAGACUGGAAUUCCUGGUGUAGCAGUGAAAUGCGUAGAUAUCAGGAGGAACACCGAUGGCGAAGGCAGGUCUCUGGGCUGACACUGACGCUCAUGCACGAAAGCGUGGGGAGCAAACAGG